CCACGGCCAAGGGAACGGGCUUGGAAGAAUCAGCGGGGAAAGAAGACCCUGUUGAGCUUGACUCUAGUCUGGUACUGUAAGGAGACAUGAGAGGUGUAGCAUAAGUGGGAGGCGGCUCGAUCGCCGACAGUGAAAUACCACUACUUUCAUCGUUUCCUUACUUACUUGGUGAGGCGGAGGUCGUCCGUCGGAGUGUCUGCACUCCGGCGCGACGGUAUUCUCGCGCCAAGCGCCAAGGGUUGCCGGCGGCCGG
rnacentral:rRNA from 1 species